UAUAACAAAUGAAAAAACAACAAAUAUUUCUUGAUAAAUAUUAUUGUAUAUAAUUAUUAGUCAUUAUAAUAUAAUUAUAAAAAAUUACUUUAAUAAUUCUAAAGUGAUCUAAAGUGGCUUACAGCACCAUUACAACAUGGACAGAUCUUUGGGUUAUAAUGUUACAUAUUAUUAGGGUCAUAUUUAAUACAAAGGUCAAUAGAAGAGUCAAUAUAGGUCAUAUAUGCAUGGCCAAUUGAAGAUAUACUCAGAUCAAAUAGAUUUAUCUGCUAAAAAGUUUCUGAUUCAAGCUCUGUCUGGGUGGGUGGACUAGGGUCAAUACAGGGCCUGUAGGAAGUGACUUCAUCAGUGAAAAGAUGUCAGCUUGUUUUCCUUUUUUCUUUUCCUGUUGUGUUCUGAUAGGAACUUCCUCUCCAAUGGGGGUGGAAGUAGGUGUCACUCUCCAAUCCACCCACACCACAAGGGGAAAUGUCCAUCACACGCCCGACCAGCUUGACGAUACAGUCAACACCAGGAUUGGUAGGAGCAAGUGUCCUGCUGGCAAAGCCCCCAAGCCACAGGAAACCUCAUCGGUUGCAGUGUCUAACGAGGAUGUGAGCUGCGGUGAUGGCAUAUUAACGCUCAGGCCCCGAUGGACAGCAAAAAUAAAAAGACAACAUGGCGAUGAUUCAAUACGAAUUGUUUCAGGUGAAACAAUGGUCUCUGCGACUGGCCGUUCAAAGAGUGUGGGAGAGAUGGGCGGAGAAGUGGCGUGAGGCCUUACCUGUCCAGAGAGGUGGACACCAGUGUCAGGACAUUGCAGGUCUUCAUUCAGGUUGUCAUGGACACAGAGGAGGGACAGAUGCCCUGAAAAGUCACAUGACAGUCACAAUUAAUCAAUGACCCAGAAAGGCAGCAAACAAAAAAUUUGCAAGAUGUUACAAAUAAACACCCUUUGCAAAUUAUAAAAUGCUUAUCAAACUGGAUGUAACUCUUCUGUUUGACUGUCUUGCCAAAAAAGCAAAACAAUCCAUCGUGCACUCUAAUAUUUCACUGCACAUCAAUAUAGUACAAGCUAUAUUUUUAAAACCUUUAUCAAACACCUCAGAAAAAAAGACACACAACACCUAUAUGGCAUAAAUUCCUCAAAUUUAUGGCCGACUUGUGUUUAGAUGCUAUGAUAGUACUGUAGGGAUGAGCACAAUCUUUGCCUCCCAUCCCAGAGGGCUCAGUUACCAAUUGCUGGGGUCUUUGUGUGCCCAUAAAUCUGGGGGCACUUCAUAAUACGCAUUGAGUCAUCAGGCCUGUGAGCAGCAUGUCCUGAAUACAUACCAGGCUUUGUGCAUCAGGCGGUUUCCAGUGCUACUGUUUCAUUCAAGAGUCACUUACUAUUGAAGUGAGAAGUCAGAUAAGCACUAUAUAAGCUUUUCCUUCACAAUAAACAAUCACUGACUUCCACAUACAAAGAACAGUCAAUUUGUGUAAGUGGAGCAGACGUGUGAGAGCUCGGCUUCACUUUAUGUCAAUUCUCCAUUUUACAAUACAAGUAGUAAUAGAUCUCUUUGUAUGUGUGAACUUCUACGGUUUUAUCAGAUUUGGUUAAGUAAACCCAAUUUUGUCCCCAAAGAAUAGUCCCCUUUAACACACAGAACUGUCAUGGUCGGAAAGUGCUUUACGUCAGGAUUAAUCUCCAGCAAAGAAGGGUGGGUCAGGGCAGCCAGAACUCAUUUGGUGUGUUGCUAUGAAAUGGCUGCCCAUCAGAAAUAUCUUCAUCUAUCUCUGUCUCAUCUACAUGGGUGGAAAUGGAGGGAUGAAGGGCUGUAAGGAGAGAGGGCGGGUGAAAGGGGCGCCUGGAGGAGAGAGGUCAGUGCAUUCAAGGAGUCCAUCAUUCUGAUGUGUCAAGCGUCUCUUAACUGAGUUUGUGGAAGUGUUCGUGUGUUCAGAAAUACGAAGCUUAGCUUCUCCAGGCUGUUAUGAAAUUUUAAGUGACUCUUUGACAAAUAAAAUGUGAGAAAACUCUCAUUACACAGUUACAAAUAGCAAAAAAAAAAUUAACUACAUUGAGACAUGAAACGUGCUGUAAAAAUAAACAAAAAGGAGGAUCCUACAAAAAGCGCUAAAUGCAAUGGCAAAAAAAAGAUUGUUUCCAAAUAGGUUUCUAAAACACUCCCCCGUCUGCCAUCGUUCUGGCCUGUUAUUUUCUGAAGACAUGGUUCAUUGGUAGUCUUACAUCAGCACUUUAGAAACUUCAAGGUUUCAACACUGGCCCAAGAUCUCAAAGUAGUCUUGUUAAACAGUACCAGCUGAGGUAAACAGCUAAAGGUACACAGAGUGUAAAACCCAGAGGCGAAUUUAGCUCUGGACCAUCUAUUCAAUUCAUUGCAAUCAGGCUCACACAUAAAUAUAAUAUACAUACAAUUUUACAAUAAAAACAAAAACAAAAAUUGACACACACAGGUACCUGCAUGCAAAUCCUUCCCAGCUAAGACAGGAUGUACCAGUUAUGUGAUUUUUUGAUACUUUACUUUUAUUUCAUGACUUACUAAUUGACAACGUAACUAUGACGUUGCAUACUCGUAGUUUCUUUUGUGCUUUAGUAAAGUGAUAUAAAGCUCACGCCUCCACAUUCGCACGUGCAAUUGAAGAGUGCGCGCUACGAGCACAGUAUGAUGUAUGACAGGUCAGGAAAGUUCGUUUUUGGGUGAGAGACUUUUUAUUUCUUAACAAGUUACAAAAAUAAUGUUAGAAUAAUGCCACUGACAUAGCCUGACAACAGUCAUCUGACCGCAGAUACUGCAACAGAAAAACUCAACUUAAACUUCAUCUGACAGAAGUUUCAACAGCUUUCACACACGUCUUUCAGAUAGGGAUGUGUCACGAUUUUCGAAUAUUCGAUUAGUUGAUUUAAUUAUAGAAUAUCGAAUAGGUUGUGCGAAUAUCGUCUUAAUAAAAUUCCCCAUUUGAUGCGGUGGUGACUUGUAACCAGAUGGUGGCGCACGCUGCCAAUAACGCAACUAAAAGCUAAUCAGCUCAGACAUUGCCUCACACACACACUAGACUUGUGCGGCAUAGAACAGACACAUUACAAUUAAUUUUAACAUAAGUGCCGUCAUUCAGUCUGUUCACAAUAUGUUAUUACGCGUUUAGGCAGCCUAAAAUCAUUGUGGCUUGAGAUAGCCACAACACCGAUAUCAUCACUUGCCCACCGCGGCACCGCCACCCACCGUCGUUUUGAUUUUUUUUUUUUUUUUUUUAUAGUAAUAAAAAUCAUUUAGUUCAGUAAGAGAACAGACACUACAAUUAAAAUAUAAAUGUGUCUACUCAAUUCAGCCCGAGCCGAACGAGAGUCGCAGCACAAAUCAGCAACAGUCAGUCAGAUUUCACUUCGUCUCACUCUUGACUGACAAGACGACAGUGGAAGUUUUGGUUUCAAAUCGAAAUGUAAAAGCGUCCAUUUAAGCGGGUUUGUCAUUGUACUGCUUUGUUUUUGUGUUUUUUAUUAAAAAUAACAAUGAACUCAGCAUUCAAGCAAUCGCCGCUACCGAAUUGGUGCUAAUUUGAAAGUGAAAGUAAGGCUCACGGCCACACGCGCGUUCAUAAUGGUGCGGAGAGCAAGCGUUUUCAGUGUGCUCCGCACCGUUAUGAAUGACCGUGAAAAAAAUAUUGAAAGCGUGAAUGGUCUCUCUCCCUCUCUCUUUCCGUUUAUGUGUAUGUAGCCUAUACAUGCGUGAUUCGUGCAUGCGGGGGAGGGUGCGAUUUUCAAAUAAUAUUCGAAUAAUUCCCAGCGAUUUUCAAAUAAUAUUCGAAUAAUUCCCAGCGAUUUUCGAAUAUUGUUUUUGCUUGAAAUGCCCAUCCCUACUUUCAGAAUAAAAGUCUUGCAUCAGAAAAACAUUUAGUAUUAUGUUUUUUGUUGUUGAUGUUUCUUUGAUUGCACACUCUGCGACCCACUCAGAACAGUCUUGAGACCCACAGUUGAGAAACACUGCACUAGGGCAUGCAUAUAGUGUGACAUAAUUUUAUUAACAUGUUGGUACGCAAGCAGCCAGACAUACCACACAUACUCUGUACGCUCAGCUUGAAUAUGUGCCUUGAAUUUUUUUGCUAAUUAGUUUGUAUACAAGGUGGCAACACUGCCCUGGUCCGUUGUUUCACAGUUAAAAAAGAAACGGAACAACAACAAACCACUGGAGAAGCAACAACAACAGACAGCCACGCCAAAGUGUGCUUGUGUGAGAAAAUUAAGAAAUACAGUAAACUCUAGUUUAAACUAGUACAAAGCCAUUUUUAUCGUUAAAAACUUUUGUAGAGAAAUAGAUCAGACACUGGACAAGGCUGAAAUUUUCCAGUCUGCAUGUGUCGACCUGCUGGGUUCAUGCACACUAUCAAAUGGACUGAACUUUUAAAGUUGUGCAUUUAGCUGUAUGUGUACGCGAAGCAUCCGUGUCAAAAAUUACAUAUAUUUUGGGCUUCAUCUGUGCUAAAAAAAAACUGUGUAUUAAUAAAGCAAACCACCAACAAUAAAUUACAUCAGGGGUGCGGGAAGAUGUUUUUAUUUAAUAUAUUAUUUUUUACUGUGGCUCUUUUGGAAAAAAAUUAUUUACCAAAAUUGAUAAAAAUGGCUCUUUGGUCAAAUAAAAGGUUCCUGACCCCUGCUUUAAAUAAAAGGGUUAUUAAGCUGUUUACACUGUCAUAUAUAAUAAAAGAGCCUAUACAGUGAGAGCUAAUAAAAAAUGAACAGAAAACCUUGCACAACACCAAGACUUGCACUCAUGAGUAGAGUUCUUGUUUUAAAAAAAAAAAAAAAAAAAAAAACAUAAUGCAACAUAUAAAUAACACUUUUUAAACAGCCCACUUAAAAGUGCUAAUUACAAAUAAAUUACUAAAUGCUAAAAAUGAAUAAUUGUAAAUGAUUGUAUUUACAAUCCUGUGAAAACGGGGUGCUGCAGCACCCCAGUACCCCUACUUCCUGUACCCCUAAAUAACAUAUAUAAAAUAAAUACAAAUUAAAUUACAUAUACUGUAUUAAAAUUGACUACAUAUCAGUCCUGUGAGGUCUUAUUGUAUGAGGGACUAAUGAGAAAUGAGUAAUCGAAAAUGUCGAAAAGUUUCUCAGGCUAAUUUCAGUUUCUACAUCUGCAAAUGUCGAUAUAUGUACCUCAACAUAAGCUGACAUGAGGUAUUCAAUAGUUUCAGAAGACCUGGUAAACCUUCAGAGUUGUCAGGAAGUUUUUACUUUCUGGAAAAAUCUGACUGUGUUGUCUUGGCCUGCUCUCUCCAACUUUGAGAGAAGCCAGGCACUGCAGGAUAAUCACAGUUUAAUAGGAGCAAAUAUUGAAAGCAGGAGCUGACCAACCAGAUCCCCUUUCCUAGUGCUCUCUCCCAGUGCGCCUGAGAAAAAUGCUAGCACAUGGGUGCCUAAGAAAUCGAUAAUUCCAUGAUAUAUCAAUUAACGUCAAAAAAUAGUGGAAACCGUCAUAUUGACGUUCCUUCAUUGUUUAAGUUGGAACUGUCCAGUCGAAGUGUUGGAAACGCAGCUCUGUCGAAAAUCUAACAACCUUGUUCAAGCAAAAUAAUUCACGUGUACCUCGCGUGUACCGUUCUACAAUUUCAGCAUGAAAAAUUAGUAGAAUUUCAUUGGCAGGAGACAAAAAAACAUCCAAGACAAAGUCCAGAUGAAUGGAUUGAUGUCUCUUUUUUAAUGUACAUGCUUGUGUUUUUUUUGUACUUGUUCUUAAGAUGAACUUGUGAGGUACGCUUUCCCUCUCAGGCGUCCUAUUUGCCAUGCAGAGCUAUUGCAUGCUGGGAGAGCGAAAUGUUCACAGACUGGGGCCUCUUUCUAAUGAUUUCCCACACCUGCACAUCUGCUGCCGUUUUAAUUAAUACUCUAAGGAGGUUUGUCGCGAGU